UUCAACGUCCGACACUUCAUUUUUAGUUUCUUUAACACUUACACUCUCAUAUUAAAAUUCAAAUAUUUACACAAUUACUACAAACUAAGGAUUGAAAUAACUUUCAAUUUAUACAAAAUAAAUCAGCAAUUGAAUAUGCAUGAGCCAUUUCCUCAAAAGAUCAUUCUUAUACGUUAAAUUUUACCUAAAGUUUCGACACUUGUCAAAGCUAUGAUUCUAUUGAAUUAUUUUCCACAUUUUUGGUAAAAUUUCUACUAAUAAUAUUAAUAUUGAACUAACUAUUGUUCUCAAAUUUUAGAUUGAUGUCUAUUUCAACAUAAUUUCACAAAUCCACACAUGCAGCUAAGUGAUGCAAGACGUAUCACCUUAACGAAGUUCCUUUCGAAGUGAGUUUUGGAAAAAUGGAACCUUUUGAUGAUUCUUACGAAUAAAUAAGACUAUUGUGUGAUACAACUAAAAGCAAAUCUCUGGUGUGAAAAUUAAUCUUUUGAAAGUAUAAGGAUAUCGUCUAUAUAAUGAAGAAUAAAAUCAUCAUAUUUAUCUAAAAUAUUAUGAA